UGUUAUGGCGGCUGUGCGCUGGGGCACCUUCGGGUGCGCCGGGUUACUCCUACCGGUCUUCCACACCCGCGCACAGCUGCCACCCAC
rnacentral:antisense_RNA from 2 species